AUUUAUUAUUAUUAAUGUCAGUAGCCAAAUUUAAUCAACUCUUCCUUUUACUUCCUUUUUUGAAUCAAAAUGUUACAAUUAUACAAGCAAGAGCAACAGCUCUAUAUCUGGAUCACUGCAGUGCCUAGAAGAUACAACAGCACAAUUUACAAAUCCAAAUUUCCAGGAAGUCUCUGCACAUACCUCUAGUACAAAAGAUGUUUCAGAGACUAGAGGGUCAGAAGGCAAAGAGAGGCAAUAUUCAACUCCCAGUUCAGGUCAAAAGGGAAGAAAGCCUGGUGUUGAAAGAAAUCCAAGAAUGACUGUGUCUGCAACUCGCUCCUUUCUGUAAAGUAUUUAUGGUGUUUUACUUAAAAUAUUUGCUCUUAUGAUGGUCAAUAAUAUUAAUAGUUAUGCUUUGUAAAAGAAUUUAUUCUUUAUUUAUAAUUAAUGGAUCAUUCUAAGUUAUUAUAUGUUUAGUUGCUAUAGUAAGAUGAUGUGAAAGAUUCGUUGUCUGUUAAAUAUUUCUGGGAUCUUUGCUUUAUUUUUAUAUUAUGAUCUGUGCUUCCAAAGUUG